GAUGAACGCUGGCGGCGUGCCUAAUACAUGCAAGUCGAGCGAACAGAUGAGGAGCUUGCUCCUCUGACGUUAGCGGCGGACGGGUGAGUAACACGUGGAUAACCUACCUAUAAGACUGGGAUAACUUCGGGAAACCGGAGCUAAUACCGGAUAAUAUAUUGAACCGCAUGGUUCAAUAGUGAAAGACGGUUUUGCUGUCACUUAUAGAUGGAUCCGCGCCGCAUUAGCUAGUUGGUAAGGUAACGGCUUACCAAGGCAACGAUGCGUAGCCGACCUGAGAGGGUGAUCGGCGACACUGGAACUGAGACACGGUCCAGACUCCUACGGGAGGCAGCAGUAGGGAAUCUUCCGCAAUGGGCGAAAGCCUGACGGAGCAACGCCGCGUGAGUGAUGAAGGUCUUCGGAUCGUAAAACUCUGUUAUUAGGGAAGAACAAAUGUGUAAGUAACUAUGCACGUCUUGACGGUACCUAAUCAGAAAGCCACGGCUAACUACGUG
rnacentral:rRNA from 1 species